CGAAAGCCUGACGGAGCAAGACCGCGUGCGGGAGGAAGGCUUUUGGGUCGUAAACCGCUUUUCUUAGGGAAGAAGAUCUGACGGUACCUAAGGAAUCAGCCUCGGCUAACUCCGUGCCAGCAGCCGCGGUAAGACGGAGGAUGCAAGCGUUAUCCGGAAUUAUUGGGCGUAAAGCGUCCGUAGGCGGUUCAUCAAGUCUGCCGUUAAAGACUGCAGCUCAACUGUGGGCCGGCGGUGGAAACUGAUGAACUUGAGUAUGGUAGGGGUAGAGGGAAUUCCCAGUGUAGCGGUGAAAUGCGUAGAUAUUGGGAAGAACACCAGUGGCGAAGGCGCUCUGCUGGGCCAUAACUGACGCUGAGGGACGAAAGCUAGGGGAGCG
rnacentral:rRNA from 1 species